UACGUAGGGGGCAAGCGUUGUCCGGAAUUAUUGGGCGUAAAGAGCGCGUAGGCGGUCCGAUAAGUCGGCUGUGAAAGUCAGGGGCUCAACCCUUGAAAGCCGGCCGAUACUGUCGGACUAGAGUCCGGAAGAGGCAAGUGGAAUUCCCGGUGUAGCGGUGAAAUGCGUAGAUAUCUGGAGGAAUACCGGUGGCGAAGGCGGCAUCCUGGACCGGCAUUGACGCUGAGGAGCGAAAGCUAGGGGAGCAAACGGG
rnacentral:rRNA from 1 species